ACGAACGCUGGCGGCGUGCUUAACACAUGCAAGUCGAGUGCGCGCCUGUAGCAAUACAGGUGGCGCACGGCGCACGGGUCGCGUAACACGUGGGUAAUCUGCCCUCUGAUGGGGAAUAAGCCCGCCGAAAGGCGGGCUAAUACCGCAUAUACAUUCCUUGGAUUUCGGUCCGGGGACUCAAAGGCGUAAGUCGUCGGAGGAGGAGCCCGCGCACGAUUAGCUAGUUGGUUAGGGUAACGGCCUACCAAGGCUUUGAUCGUUAAGCUGGUCUGAGAGGAUGGCCAGCCACACUGGAACUGAGACCACGGUCCAGACUCCUACGGGAGGCAGCAGCUGGGAGAAUCUUGCACAAUGGGCGGAAAGCCUGAUGCAGCGACGCCGCGUGGGGGAUGAAGCAUUUCGGUGUGUAAACCCCCUUUCGAUCCGGACGAAUACCUCGCAAGAGGGGGGACGGUACGGAUAUAAGAAGCCCCGGCUAACUACGUGCCAGCAGCCGCGGUAAGACGUAGGGGGCCAGCGUUGUUCGGAAUUACUGGGGUGUAAAGGGUUCGUAGGCGAGUGUGGCAAGUUGGGAGUGAAGAAUCUCUGGGCUUAACCCAGAGGCUGCUUCCAAACUGCUAGUCGCUUGAGUGUGAGAGACGGCUCCGUGGAAUGCGAGUGUAGCGGUGAUGAAUGCUGGUAGAUAUCUGCAGGAACACCCGUGGCGAAAGCGGCGAGCUGGAUCACUACUGACGCGGAGGAACGAAAGCUAGGGGAGGCAAACAGGAUUAGAUACCCUGGUAGUCCUAGCCCCUAAACGAAUCAGGACUUGGGGGUGCCCACCCGUUCGGGUGUCGGUCCCGGAGCUAGACGCGUUAAGGUCCUGCACCUGGGGGUAGUACCGGUUCGCAAGACUGAAACUCAGAAAGGGAAUUGACGGGGGCCGCGCACAAGCGGUGGAACAUGUCGGUUCAAUUCGACGCUACGCGAGGUAACCUUACCUGGAGCGCUCGAAAUGUCUAGUGACCAGCUGUACGAAAUACGGCCUUCCCGCAAGGGACACUAGGUAUAGGCGACUGCAUGGCAUGUCGUCAGCUCGUGCCGCUGAGGUGUUGGGUUAAGUCCCGCAACGAGCGCACACCCCUGCACACAGUUACUACUCGCAAGAGAGGGACUCUGUGUGGACUGCCUCCGGAUAACGGAGAGGAAGGUGGGCGAUUGACGUCAAGGUCCGCAUUGGCCUCUUAUGUCCAGCGGCUACACACGUGUUUAGCAAUGCAGGGCACAAACCGGUGCCAACCCGCGAGGGGGAGCUAAUCAGGAAAAAACCUCUGCUCAGUUCCUGAUUUGCAGUCUGCAACUCGACUGCAUGAAGCCGGAAUCCGCUAGUAAUGGGCGUAUCAGAUCGACGCCGUGAAUACGUUUCCCGGGUCCUUUGUACACACCGCCCGUCACAUCAUCCGAAAAGUGAGUUGUAACUAGAAGGUCGGCCGGCUGGCCGAACCGCAAGGGACGCAAGCGCCCAAGGUAUGACUCAUGAUUGGGGUG
rnacentral:rRNA from 1 species